GCUGUCUCAUGAUCUGAUUCUCGAAUUCUGCAGUGGAUGCCGGUCAACGAGUAUGUAGAGCAACCUUACAAUCAGAAGCAUGGACAAUUCAGAUCCAUAGCAGAGAUUUGCAAAGCGAAAGUGGAAGGUGCAUAUGCGGGGUUCUCUGCUAUGCCAGUGAAAUCAGCUUCAGGGAAGAAGGUCGACCUCUACUAUAACAACCAGCAAGUUCAGAACAAACUAUGAAGACAUAUAUAGAUAUCGAAAUACUGACUCACCUGGGUUAGUCAAACUGAAUGGUGUUAGAACCCGGGUCUCACUCGAAACUCUCAUGUUCUUCCUUGACAAGUCUUAUUUACAAAUUGCGUAGCAAAGAUGUUGUCAGUUGAAGCAUCAUCGUCUUAAUAGUAGUGUAUUGAAAUUUGAUUACAUGGUGAAAGAAUAUGAAGUCUGUCUCAUUUGUUUAUUGUUUCUUUUCAAUUCUUGCUCUGCUAUGUGAAAGAAAGCACACAACC
rnacentral:lncRNA from 1 species